AGAGUUUGAUCCUGGCUCAGGAUGAACGCUGGCGGCGUGCCUAAUACAUGCAAGUCGAGCGAACGGACGAGAAGCUUGCUUCUCUGAUGUUAGCGGCGGACGGGUGAGUAACACGGGGAUAACCUACCUAUAAGACUGGGAUAACUUCGGGAAACCGGAGCUAAUACCGGAUAAUAUUUUGAACCGCAUGGUUCAAAAGUGAAAGACGGUCUUGCUGUCACUUAUAGAUGGAUCCGCGCUGCAUUAGCUAGUUGGUAAGGUAACGGCUUACCAAGGCAACGAUGCAUAGCCGACCUGAGAGGGUGAUCGGCCACACUGGAACUGAGACACGGUCCAGACUCCUACGGGAGGCAGCAGUAGGGAAUCUUCCGCAAUGGGCGAAAGCCUGACGGAGCAACGCCGCGUGAGUGAUGAAGGUCUUCGGAUCGUAAAACUCUGUUAUUAGGGAAGAACAUAUGUGUAAGUAACUGUGCACAUCUUGACGGUACCUAAUCAGAAAGCCACGGCUAACUACGUGCCAGCAGCCGCGGUAAUACGUAGGUGGCAAGCGUUAUCCGGAAUUAUUGGGCGUAAAGCGCGCGUAGGCGGUUUUUUAAGUCUGAUGUGAAAGCCCACGGCUCAACCGUGGAGGGUCAUUGGAAACUGGAAAACUUGAGUGCAGAAGAGGAAAGUGGAAUUCCAUGUGUAGCGGUGAAAUGCGCAGAGAUAUGGAGGAACACCAGUGGCGAAGGCGACUUUCUGGUCUGUAACUGACGCUGAUGUGCGAAAGCGUGGGGAUCAAACAGGAUUAGAUACCCUGGUAGUCCACGCCGUAAACGAUGAGUGCUAAGUGUUAGGGGGUUUCCGCCCCUUAGUGCUGCAGCUAACGCAUUAAGCACUCCGCCUGGGGAGUACGACCGCAAGGUUGAAACUCAAAGGAAUUGACGGGGACCCGCACAAGCGGUGGAGCAUGUGGUUUAAUUCGAAGCAACGCGAAGAACCUUACCAAAUCUUGACAUCCUUUGACAACUCUAGAGAUAGAGCCUUCCCCUUCGGGGGACAAAGUGACAGGUGGUGCAUGGUUGUCGUCAGCUCGUGUCGUGAGAUGUUGGGUUAAGUCCCGCAACGAGCGCAACCCUUAAGCUUAGUUGCCAUCAUUAAGUUGGGCACUCUAAGUUGACUGCCGGUGACAAACCGGAGGAAGGUGGGGAUGACGUCAAAUCAUCAUGCCCCUUAUGAUUUGGGCUACACACGUGCUACAAUGGACAAUACAAAGGGCAGCGAAACCGCGAGGUCAAGCAAAUCCCAUAAAGUUGUUCUCAGUUCGGAUUGUAGUCUGCAACUCGACUACAUGAAGCUGGAAUCGCUAGUAAUCGUAGAUCAGCAUGCUACGGUGAAUACGUUCCCGGGUCUUGUACACACCGCCCGUCACACCACGAGAGUUUGUAACACCCGAAGCCGGUGGAGUAACCUUUUAGGAGCUAGCCGUCGAAGGUGGGACAAAUGAUUGGGGUGAAGUCGUAACAAGGUAGCCGUAUCGGAAGGUGCGGCUG
rnacentral:rRNA from 1 species